rnacentral:lncRNA from 1 species
GGUUUCGAUCACAGGAAGCUGGUAGGAGGUGCAGCGCCUCGGGGACCAGCCCCGGGAAGAGCUCCUGUACGACCCCCGCCCUCAGGCGCACAGAGGCGGACCCCGCACCCUGGGCACCGCGGCGCCGCCUCCCCGAGGGCCACUCGGCUCCCAGCGGCUCCAGGCGGCCCCAGCACCGAGAGGAGGGCCGGUGACCAGGGGCUGCGGCCCGCGGGGAGGUGGUCUGUGUGGCCCGCGUGAGGCAGCGGUCUCGCGUGCUGAGCCCCAGCCCAGAAAUUUCACCCGAUGUGAAACCCGAGUGCAGGACCCUGAGGAGGAGACCCCGCCGCCUCCCAGCAGGCCAGCCCGGGCAUCCUAGGAAGGGAUCCCGUCUCCCACACAGACCCCGGGCUCCUGUCCUCAGCCGAGCUCCUUACGGGCCGGAGCUGGGGUCAGAGUUCAUUUCUUCCCAAACGGGCGGCUCCAGAAACGCUCCAAACUUUUCUUCCGUUUUCCACUGGCAAGGGACCCAGCAUUUUACUGGGAGCCUAAGGAGGAGAAAGGUCUACCGGGCUUGUCCCUGUGGUGAGGCCUCGCUGCCGGCCCUAAACAGGGAUGAGGGUUUGAAAACCCUCACACAGCCCUAAGAGAGAGUCACGCCGAGUUUCCCCCUGGCCAUCUCCAGUGUCCUUCGUCCCUUCAGCUCUUGUCCCCGACGUUCCCGCUCCCGGGAGCUGCAGGUGCCGCACACACCCAUGAGGGACGGCAGACAGGGGACACACACCGCAAGGGACGGCAGACAGGAAACACACACCCUCGAGGGACAGCAGAGAGGACACACACCCGCGAGGGACGGCGGACAGGACACACACCCGCGAGGGACGGCAGACAGGACACACCCCCACGAGGGUCGGCAGACAGGACACACCCCCACAAGGGACCGCAGACGGGACACACGCCCGCGAGGGACGGCAGACGGGACACACGCCCACGAGGGUCGGCAGACAGGAUACACCCCCACGAGGGUCGGCGGAUAUGACACACACCCGCGAAGGACGGCAGACCGCACGGGCCUGGCGGCGUCCUCGGUCCGCGCCGAGCUUAGGGCUCUAGCGCUCAGGAUGUAGCAUGUCUCAUGUCUCGGAUCCAGGACUCAUCCCCACCAAUUUUAUAUAGAAUAGGGAAGUUCGGGAGAGCUCCAACAGAGGUGUGGGAAACCAUUUUCCUCAUAGCCGCCCGGCUAGCUCAGUCGGUAGAGCAUGAGACCCUUAAUCUCAGGGUCGUGGGUUCGAGCCCCACGUUGGGCGUGAGAUUUUGUCGGAUGGAUUAGACUUGCAACUUGGAAGAAAGUAAACUAAAUAAGAAAACGUGGAAGUGACUCCGUAUACCUUGCAAAUCGGGAAUUGUUGGUCAGGCAAACGCAAAACGCUCCACCAACCAACUGGCUUCAGGAUCCCCUUUGUCUUGUUUCAUAAAAAAAAGAGGCCGAGCGUCGUGGUUCAUGCCUAUAAUCCUCUCACUUUGACCCUAGGAGUUUGAGACCAGCCUAGGCAACAUGGUGAGACCCCCGGCCCUUAAAAAAAAUACAAAUUUUCGCCAGGCUUGGUGGUGUGCGCCUGUAGUCCCAGCUAUUCCAGAGACUGAGGCAGGAGAAUCACUUGAACCCGGGAGGUAGAGGUUACAGUAAGCCGAGACUGUGCCAGUGCACUCCAGCCUGGACAACACAGUAAGACUCCGUCUCAAAAUAAUAAUAAAAAGAAAUUGGCCGGGCGUGGUGGCUCACGCCUGUAAUCCCAGCACUUUGGGAGGUCGAGGCGGGCGGAUCACGAGGUCAAGAGAUCGAGACCAUCCUGGCUAACAUGGUGAAACCCCGUCUCUACUAAAAAAGAGAAAAAAUUAGCCGGGCAUGGUGGUGGGCGCCUGUAGUCCCAGCUACUAGGGAGGCUGAGACAGGAGAAUAGCGUGAACCCGGAAGGCAGAGCUUGCAGUGAGCCGAGAUCGUGCCACUGCACUCCAGCCUGAGCAACAGAGUGAGACUACGUCUCAAAAAAAAAAGAAAAAAAAAAAAGAAAUAAAAAUUAUGUAUGUAUAAAAUUUGCAUACACGUUCCAUAUUCAGUAAACUGAGCAUUUGGGACCCUCUCUGCAUAAUAUUUGCCUUAAGAGGAAUUCUCCUUCUAUUUCACCCCAGUUUAACACUGGCAAAAAUUCUUAUAAUUGCACGCUACAGCACACCAGGGACUCUCACCUACCAUCAGGGACGUGGUCCUCAUUGCCAGCCAGCCAGCCAGCCAGCCAGCCAGCCAGCAGGGGAGUCAAAUUUAGAAUUUCACCCUUAUAAUCUGGUUCUAGGCUAGGUACCAUGACUCAGGCCUGUAAUCCCAGCAUUUAGGGAGGCCAAGGCAGGAACAUCACUUGAGCCCAGGAAUUUGCGGGUGCAGUGACCCAUGAUCGUGCCACUGCAGCCUGGGCAACACAGUGAGACCCUAUCUCCAAAAACCAGAACAAGUAUUUAUACCUCUCUAAUAACUGUCAUAUUAAAUAUUCUGUGAAAAUAGCUAAUGGGAGGUGUGGUGGCUCAUGCCUAUAAGAACAGCACUUUGGGAGGCCAAGGUGGGAAUAUUGCUUGAGCCCAGGAGUUUCAGACCAGCCUGGGCAACAUAGCAAGACCCCGUCUCUACAAAAAAUAAGUAGCAUGUGCCUGCAGUACAAGCUACUCAGGAGGCUGAUUGGGGAGGAUCACUUGAACCUGGGAGGUCGAGGCUGCAGUGAGCAGUGAUCACACCACUGCACUCCAGCCUGGGUGACUGAGUGAGACCCUGUCUCAAAAAAACAAAAAAACAAAAACAAAAACAAAAAAAACAUAGCUGAUGGUUUCCUGACUGCUACCUGGACAUUGGUUUGGUAACAAAUUUUGGCUUCAAUGCAGUGCUGAGGUCCUUACCAAUGGAACGUGAGAUGACAUAAUUCACAGUAUACAACAGCAUCGUGAUCAGGCAAUGCGUGGCCUGGUUGAUUAUGAGGAGUUGCAGGCUGAAGCAAGUGCCCUGGGUGACCAGUGGCUGCUGUGCCUGAUUGUUGCAGCACAGGUGACCACACAGACUUUCGUUAGUUCAUGGCGUGGAAAGAAGUCUUCUGAAGGCCCUGGUUUGCUUACAGAAAGAAGAUGACAAGAUCAGGUCUCUAAACUUUUAGACUAAGUCAAGUUCAGAGACGCAGGGACAAUUUAUGGCAACCAUACAAUAACCUUAAAGCCACAAGGCUGACAUUGCUAAAAAUCAAACAUGUCAUUUAACUAGGCAUGUUGCAGAAUGGCAACGUAAAUUGAAUUCACAGCCUUAGGAAAUCUUUGGUGUGAAAGAUACUGCAUUGAUUAGGCAGAAGUGGUGACAUCAGAUUGGACUCAAAAUUGAGAAUCUUGAACUACAAAGGUUGACCUUGGAGAAAACAGCCUACAUGACAAAACAAAACAGAAACAAAACAAGUUUGGCUACUUUAAGCCAUCAUAAGGAGGAUGGGAUAUGAUUUUGUAUCUGGUGAAUUUAUCCAUCUGGGUGCAUAUCCCAAAGAGCCUAUAGUUAAUAUGUUAUCUCAUGCAGCUGACCAUGGCCCUACCAGGUUUCUUGGUUGGUUGGCUGAAAAUUGAACUCAGUGGUGGCCUAUGUUUAAUGAGACCGGGCUGCCAGAACGUCUCAGGCAAACUGUAGAGAAAGAAACCUAAAGACACCAAGCAAUGUUGGAGUGCAUCUUUCACGCAUGAUGUGCAUACCACUGAGAAGACCAGAGGACACUCCCUUUCUUUCUUUCUUUCUUUUUCUCUUUUCUCUUUUUUUUGAGACGGAGUCUUACUCUGUCGCCCAGGCUGGAGUGCAGUGGCACGACCUCAGCUCACUGCAACCUCUGCCUCCCGGGUUCAAGCGAUUCUUCUGCCUCAGCCUCCCAAGUAGCUGGGACUACAGGCGAGCGCCACCACACCCGGCUAAUUUUUGUAUUUUUAGUAGAGAUGGGGUGUCACCAUAUUGGCCUGGCUGCUCUAGAACUCCUGACCUCGUGAUCCGCCUGCCUCGGCCUCCCAAAGUGCUGGGAUUACAGGUGUGAGCUACCGCACCAGGCCAGGACACUCCCUUUCACAAGGCCUCCCGAAAAAAUCCAUCACUGAAGCAUCAGCUUCCUUAAGUAGCUCUCUGGUGGCCAUUCUCUACAGGUGGCCUAUGAUGGUGGAAGGUAAUGCCAUUGAGGUGUGGAAGGUAACGCCACUGAGGUGUGGAAGGUAACCCCAUUGAGGUGUGGAAGGUAACCCCAUUGAGGUGAGGAAGGUAAUGCCAUUGAGGUGAGGAAGGUAAUGCCAUUGAGAUGUGGAAGGUAACCCCAUUGAGGUGAGGAAGGUAACCCCAUUGAGGUGUGGAAGGUAAUGCCAUUGAGGUGAGGAAGGUAACCCCAUUGAGGUGAGGAAGGUAACGCCAUUGAGGUGAGGAAGGUAAUGCCAUUGAGGUGAGGUCCCUGAUUUCAGUGGAGAUGAUGGGGUCCAGGAUGUUUGGGGAACUGGGAGAAGCCAGGCCAGAGCUGGAAAAACAGAAGAGUCCCAAUUAUGAGUUUUAUUUAUUUAUUUAUUUAUUUUGAGACGGAGUCUCUGUCACCCAGGCUGGAGUGCAGUGGCGCGAUCUCCGCUCACUGCAACCUCCACCUCCCGGGUUCAAGUGAUUCUCCUGCCUCAGUCUCCUGAGGAGCUGGGAUUACAGGCGCGUGCCCCCACGCCCGGCUAAUUUUUCUAUUUUUAGUAGAGACGGGGUUUCACCGUGUUGGUCAGGCUGGUGCGUGAUCGUGAUCCGCCCGCCUCGGCCUCCCAAAGUGCUGGGAUUACAGGCGGGAGCCACUGCGCCCGGGCCAAUUAUUGGUUUUAAAGGCAAAAGCCAACCAUGUUUUUAUACAUAUUUAUGACAAAACUCCAGCAGUGGUCCCCAUCAGAGCGGCUUCUGAUUUUACUUUACACCAUGUCCUGUAGUUCGGGAAAUUUUUACCUUGAAGAUGGCAUCAUAUAUUGCAUGGAUUUAAAAAAAGAAUACUAUGGACUAUUUCAAAUAUGUAUUAAAAGAGAGAAAAUAGUGCAAUGUCCCCUCAUGUCCCCCAUUAUCUACUCAUGGAUAAGUAGUUUCAUCUAUACCGCCAUCCAUCUUAUGAUUUCUUUUUUUUUUUUUUUGAAACGGAGAUUACAGGCUGGGAUUACAAGUUUAAGCCAGCGCACCUGGCCUCAGUUUUAUGAUUUUUAAAACAAACCAGUUGUCUUGUAAUUUAAUCUGUAAAUAAUUGUGUUUAUAAAAAAAAGGAUUUAAAAAAUAUUUGUAACCAUAAUAGAAUUAACAAACCUGGAAAAAUAAACAAUCAUUCCUUUCUAUCAAGUUAAAUGGAUGGUACUUAACAUCCUGUAAAAGAUUCGGCUCCUUUUUUCUGUAACGUGAAAUUGUGCUCGUCUUCCUUGAAAACAGGUAGAGGUUUCUGAUUUAGAGCCUUUUUGGUAACCCUUCGGAAACUCCGCACCUCCACUGGAGUAUACCGCAUUCUAACUCUUCUGCCCGAUAAGGAACACUAAAAUUCGGCCUUUCUUUACCCCGGGUGGGACUCGAACCCACAAUCCCUGGCUUAGGAGGCCAAUGCCUUAUCCAUUAGGCCACCGGGGCGGAUAACAAAACGCUGUCGCUUGUCUUAGACCAGUUUCUCCAUCACUCCGCGGUGGUUCCUGCACAGCCUGCCCGUCCUACCCUGGCCUUUCUCCCGCCCCUCCACUGCAAUCCAAGCUUCGGUUCAGAUCUCGUCCGCUCCUGAGCAUCCUCGGGACCCCAAAGAGACGGCGCACGUGCAGAGGGACCUGAAAGACACCGAACGUCAGAUUUUUGGCUCCGCUCUUUGGUCUAGGGGUAUGAUCUUCGCUUAGGGUGCGAGAGGUGCCUGGAUCAACUCCUUCACAAGCCGUCGUCUCCACUCAGGAGACAACCCAAGUCUAGGGGUAAUUAGUAGCGAAUGAUGCACUUGCGAUGGGUAGAGUGUAUGGGAAGGGGCACGCGAUGCCAGCUCAGCAACUGGCUCCUCAUCCCGAGCCCGCCGCUUCUGGAAGUGUCGGUCUUCGUCCUCCUCCCCCGCAUUGUCCGUUAGACCAAGGGUGCCGCCCAGUGGUCGGAAGCCUCUUAAUAAUGACCCUCCAAAAUCCGCCCUCUACAUCCCCAGCUGGCUAGGUGUUAAUCUCAGGAUCGCCACGUUGGGUGUUUACUUUCCUGCCCCAACACGUGUGUUAUUUUCCUUUUUUAAAAAAUCUGUAUUUUAAUGACGUUCUUUUCCUUUAAUACCUAGUAAACGCUUCAGUCCAGGAGUUCGAGACCAUCAUGGGCAAAAUAGUGAGCGCCCCGU